AGCAGCCGCGGUAAUUCCAGCUCCAAUAGCGUAUAUUAAAGUUGUUGCAGUUAAAAGCUCGUAGUUGAAUUUCGGGAUCAAUAUAUCGGUCGUGCCUUGGUACGUACUGGUAUCAUUGGUUUCUCCUUUCUGACGAACCAUGAUGUCAUUAAUUUGGUGUUAUGGGAAGUUAGGACUGUUACUUUGAAAAAAGUUAGAGUGUUUAAAGCAGGCUUUGGCUUGAAUACAUUAGCAUGGAAUAAUGAAAUAGGACGUUCGAACCUAUUUUGUUGGUUUCUAGGAUCAACGUAAUGAUUAAUAGGGAUAGUUGGGGGCAUUAGUAUUCAAUUGUCAGAGGUGAAAUUCUUGGAUUUAUUGAAGACUAACUACUGCGAAAGCAUUUGCCAAGGAUGUUUUCAUUAAUCAAGAACGAAAGUUAGGGGAUCGAAGACGAUCAGAUACCGUCGUAGUCUUAACCAUAAACUAUGCCGACUAGGGAUCGGAUGAUGUUAAUUUUUUAAUGACUCAUUCGGCGCCUUAC
rnacentral:misc_RNA from 1 species